rnacentral:rRNA from 1 species
UACGGGGGGGCAAGCGUUGUUCGGAAUUACUGGGCGUAAAGGGCUCGUAGGUGGCCAACUAAGUCAGACGUGAAAUCCCUCGGCUUAACCGGGGAACUGCGUCUGAUACUGGAUGGCUAGAGUUUGGGAGAGGGAUGCGGAAUUCCAGGUGUAGCGGUGAAAUGCGUAGAUAUCUGGAGGAACACCGGUGGCGAAGGCGGCAUCCUGGACCAACACUGACGCUGAGGAGCGAAAGCCAGGGAGCAAGCGGG